rnacentral:rRNA from 1 species
UACGGAGGGGGCUAGCGUUGUUCGGAAUUACUGGGCGUAAAGCGCACGUAGGCGGCUUUGUAAGUUAGAGGUGAAAGCCCGGGGCUCAACUCCGGAAUUGCCUUUAAGACUGCAUCGCUAGAAUUGUGGAGAGGUAAGUGGAAUUCCGAGUGUAGAGGUGAAAUUCGUAGAUAUUCGGAAGAACACCAGUGGCGAAGGCGACUUUCUGGUCUGUAACUGACACUGAGACGCGAAAAGCGUGGGGAGCAAACAGG